GCGGUGCGCGCAGACCGACGAGCCCGCAGCUCCCCGGCCGGUCCCCCGCUGCGCCCCCGCUGCCCCCCAGCUCCCCGGGGGGCUGGGCCUUUUCUGGACAUGGAUACAGCUAGGUGCUCACUUCCAUGGACUCUCAUCAGCAACUGGACCUCCCUCCUGCCCAGCCCUGCAGGCAGAGGCUCUCAGCUCAACAGCAGCUGCCGCAAAUACCACUGCGAGCAGCACACACACGACAGUAGACCGGCAUGCUGCGCAUCACUGCAUGCUUCUACAGCAACACUGCUGCCAUCUCCUCCCUUCUUCCUGCGCUCCCCUCCUACGUACCGCCUCCUGCUCGUCUAUUCCCACAGUCAAGACCAACAAAUCCAACUCAACUGAUGCCCUCUCGUCUGGUUUGAGUAUCAAAAGCAGCUCCUGGGAAGCUUUGCUACUCACCACUGCUGCGAGCAGCAGAUGGGUAUCACUUGCUGGGGAACAAAAAUAAGUAUUAAAGCACUUGCAACUGUUCAGCAAAUCCUACCACAGCUGUAUCAAAAAAUGGUGUUUCUGAUUCAGGCUGUCAAUAUGCUGGGCCAAAACCCCAGAGUGAGGAAUACAGACACCAGGAUACAGGGAGCUUAGAAAACUGCCUUUAUUCUAUUAGUUGUUGGAAAAAUGAAAAUACAGAAAGAGUUUAGUUAGCUGCAGAACAGCAAGAAGUUCACAGGUUAGGAGUCUGAUCACUACAUGGUAACCAAACUUACACAAAAAGUUUCUUUUUUUUCCUUUUAGUUUUGAAACUGGGUCCA